CUACGGGUGGCUGCAGUGAGGAAUAUUGCACAAUGGGGGGAAUCCUGAUGCAGCAACGCCGCGUGGAGGAUGACGCAUUUCGGUGUGUAAACUCCUUUUAUAUGUCAAGAGAAUGACGGUAGCAUAUGAAUAAGCACCGGCUAACUCCGUGCCAGCAGCCGCGGUAAUACGGAGGGUGCAAGCGUUACUCGGAAUCACUGGGCGUAAAGGACGCGUAGGCGGGUUGGAAAGUCAGGUGUGAAAUCCUACAGCUUAACUGUAGAACUGCACUUGAAACUUCUAAUCUAGAGUAUGGGAGGGGGAGAUGGAAUUCGUGGUGUAGGGGUAAAAUCCGUAGAUAUCACUAGGAAUACCUAAAGCGAAGGCGAUCUCCUGGAACAUUACUGACGCUAAGGCGUGAAAGCGUGGGGAGCAAACAGGAUUAGAUACCCGGGUAGUC
rnacentral:rRNA from 1 species